GGAAGAGGCUGACGUCAGCGCGUUCUCCAGCGCUUGGGGGCGGGGUCGAUGACUCACCGGGCUGCGCCCCUUGCCCCCGCCCCUCCCGGCUGCGCGCACGUGAGCGAGCACUACGCUGGUUUCUAAAUUUAGUCCCGGCGGCUUCCCUGGGGUCGCCUGAGAAUACAGUAUUUGCUUUGUUGUUCUGACUUUUCCCACUUGGAGAGUUGUGAAAAGGAAACAUUUUAUCCACCAUCUUGUCUCUUCUCUUUCUUCACGGAGUACAGGGAAUCGAGCCUGGGACCUUGUGCACAUUGGGUAGGUGCUCUAUCACUGGAACUAUACUCCCAGUCCAGCUGAGGAAUUGAACCCAACUCUAGCCACAGUUGAACCCAACUCUAGCCACAAUCUUGGUGGAUACUACAACUUAAAAAGAAUAUAAGGGCCAAAAGCUCCUGGCCAAUGACCUGCCUUCAAGUGGAGGUCUGAAGUCCCCUUCCUGGAUGGACAUUCCCAUAGUAACAGCAGAGAGGAAUAGUACACCCGAUGUGGACACCACACCUACAGACCUCUGUAUCGGUCACACCCAUAUGUCAGAUUGUGCAUUCCUGGCAAGACUGAAUGUGAGUGCCAGGGAGGGGAAGCUGUGAUCUUCGUCCCUGACUCUCCCCAUGAAAUGGAGGAACUUCAGGCCCUUCACCAUAACUGGAGUAAUCAACCUCAGAAUUGCUUUUGUGUAAUAGAGCCAAUAUCAACAGUGCCUAUAGAAACUUCCACCACCUAGUAGGGGUUUCCAGAGGGUGUACCUCCAUGUCUCCACUUACUCUGCUGCCUACACAUGAGAGGGUUCCCACUUUUGUGAGUAGCUACCUCAGACUUCAGUAUGGCAUGCACUGUGUCUAGACCCACUAAUCAUAGCCCAAGAAGCCACAGAGAGAAUGCAUUAUUGAAUUGGAGGUAAACUCAAUAUUAUACAAUAAUUUGACACCACAGGGCAUAUCAUGAAUUGAAAGCCACUAAGAAGGACAUCACAUAAAAGUGGAAGAGAGUCCAAUUCAAUAGAUUGGUAAAUCUCAACCUAGAAACAUGAAAUAUGAUGAAAUGUAAUAGAAUACCUCCAAAAGUUCAUAACUCUUUAGUAACUGAUUCCAAAGAUAUCAAAGUGGAUGAAAUGCCACACAAAGAAUCUUUCAGGAGAACAAUGUUAAAAGCAGUAUGUGACAUAAAAGGAUAAACAGCUGGAUGAAUUAACAAAACAAUUCAAGAAAGAUCUGAAAAGUUCAAUGUCAGAAAAUUCAGUUGGAAUUCUCACUAUUAGAAUGGAUAAAAUAGAAGAAAGAAUAACAUAUAAAGAUGAAACUUUUGAAAUGUUAGUAGAGAAAGAAAAUUGAGUAGGUAUGACGUUGCCAUACAAGAGAUUUAGGACAUCACCACAAGACAAAAUAUCUGGCUCUUUGGCAUACCCGAGGGAGAAGAGCUACAGGUUGGGGGCAUAAAAAAACCAAUUUAAUGAGCCGGGCGCCUUGGCGCAUGCCUGUAAUCGCAGCAGCUGAGACAGGAGGAUCAUGAGUUCAAAGCCAACCUCAGCAAAAGCAAGGCAGUAAGCAACUCACUGAGACCCUGUCCCUAAGUAAAAUACAAAAUAGGGCUGGGGAUGUGACUCAGUGGCCGAAUGCCCCUGUUUAAUGAAAUUUAUUUCCCAGAUCCUGCAAAAGACAUGGGCAUCUAUAUACAUGAUGCAUAUAGAACCCCAAAGAGAUGUUGUGAAAGGAACUUUUCCAUGAUAUGUUGUAGUUAAAUUGUCAAACAUAUUGCAUCAAGAAAACAAUAUUAAAUGUGGCAAGAGAGAAGUGUCAAGAUACAUUUAAAGAUACAUUUAGACUAACUGAAUAUUUCUCAGAAGGAACUCUAUUAAAGGACAGGAGGGCGUGGAUCCAUGUAUUUGAAGUCACGAAAGACAAAAGAAAAAAAAAUGCCAGCCAAGAGUACAGUGUUCACCAAGGCUAUCCUUUAGAAUUGACAGAGAAGUAAAGACCUUCCAAGAUAACCAUGAAGAAAGGGAAUUCUUGACUACUGGACCAAAUUACAAAACAUAAUUAAGGUAAGCCCACAAAAAAAGGAAGAAAAAUUAUAGGAACAUGUAAAAGAACAAGUCUAACUAGAAGAGAAUAGAUAUGCAAAUGAGAAAUAAGGAAGCAUCAAACAUCAUUGUUAUAACCAUUAAGUGUGUAAGAUGAAUGAGAUGAAAAAAUGAACAGAAUAUUCAAAACAACCAGAAGAUAAACAAACACUAUUAGAGAUAGAUUCUGACUUCAGUACCCUACUCAUCAAUGGAUGGGUCAUCCAGGAAAAAAAAAAAAUCAAAGAAAUAUUAGUUAGAUAAUAUUUCUGAUCAAAU